CCUACGGGGGGCUGCAGUGGGGAAUAUUGGACAAUGGGGGGAACCCUGAUCCAGCCAUGCCGCGUGUGUGAAGAAGGCCCUCGGGUUGUAAAGCACUUUCAGUGAGGAAGAACGCCUGGUGGUUAAUACCCAUCAGGAAAGACAUCACUCACAGAAGAAGCACCGGCUAACUCCGUGCCAGCAGCCGCGGUAAUACGGAGGGUGCGAGCGUUAAUCGGAAUUACUGGGCGUAAAGCGCGCGUAGGUGGCUUGAUAAGCCGGUUGUGAAAGCCCCGGGCUCAACCUGGGAACGGCAUCCGGAACUGUCAAGCUAGAGUGCAGGAGAGGAAGGUAGAAUUCCCGGUGUAGCGGUGAAAUGCGUAGAGAUCGGGAGGAAUACCAGUGGCGAAGGCGGCCUUCUGGACUGACACUGACACUGAGGUGCGAAAGCGUGGGUAGCAAACAGGAUUAGAUACUCUUGUAGUC
rnacentral:rRNA from 1 species